UACGAAGGGUGCAAGCGUUGUUCGGAAUUACUGGGCGUAAAGCGCGCGUAGGCGGGUCUGUAAGUAGAUUGUGAAAUACCUGGGCUUAACCCGGGAAUGGCAGUCUAAACUGCAGAUCUUGAAUGUCUGAGAGGAUGGCGGAAUUCCCGGUGUAGUAGUGAAAUACGUAGAUAUCGGGAAGAACACCUGAGGCGAAGGCGGCUAUCUGCGGUACAUUGACGCUGAUGCGCGAAAAGC
rnacentral:rRNA from 1 species